rnacentral:rRNA from 1 species
AUUGAACGCUGGCGGCAUGCUUUACACAUGCAAGUCGAACGGCAGCACGGGUGCUUGCACCUGGUGGCGAGUGGCGAACGGGUGAGUAAUACAUCGGAACGUGCCCAGUCGUGGGGGAGUAACGUAGCGAAAGACUACGCUAAUACCGCAUACGAUCUACGGAUGAAAGACGGGGGACGUCGCAAGAGCCUCGCGCGAUUGGAGCGGCCGAUGGCAGAUUAGGUAGUUGGUGGGGUAAAGGGCUCACCAAGCCUGCGAUCUGUAGCUGGUCUGAGAGGACGACCAGCCACACUGGAACUGAGACACGGUCCAGACUCCUACGGGAGGCAGCAGUGGGGAAUUUUGGACAAUGGGCGGCAAGCCUGAUCCAGCCAUUCCGCGUGCAGGAUGAAGGCC